rnacentral:rRNA from 1 species
AUUGAACGCUGGCGGCAUGCCUUACACAUGCAAGUCGAACGGCAGCGGACCUUCGGGUGCCGGCGAGUGGCGAACGGGUGAGUAAUGUAUCGGAACGUACCUUUCAGUGGGGGAUAACGUAGCGAAAGUUACGCUAAUACCGCAUAUUCUGUGAGCAGGAAAGCAGGGGAUCGCAAGACCUUGCGCUGAUUGAGCGGCCGAUAUCAGAUUAGCUAGUUGGUGAGGUAAAGGCUCACCAAGGCGACGAUCUGUAGCGGGUCUGAGAGGAUGAUCCGCCACACUGGAACUGGGACACGGUCCAGACUCCUACGGGAGGCAGCAGUGGGGAAUUUUGGACAAUGGGCGCAAGCCUGAUCCAGCCAUGCCGCGUGAGUGAAGAAGGCCUUCGGGUUGUAAAGCUCUUUCGGCCGGGAAGAAAUCGCAUGGGUUAAUACCCUGUGCGGAUGACGGUACCGGCAUAAGAAGCACCGGCUAACUACGUGCCAGCCGCCGCGGUAAAAC